rnacentral:rRNA from 1 species
CCCUAUGGGGUGCAGCAGGCGAGAAAACUUUGCAAUGUGCGAAAGCACGACAAGGUUAAUCCGAGUGAUUCCUGCUAAAGGAAUCUUUUGUUAGUCAUAGAACCACUGAUGAAUAAGGGGUGGGCAAGUUCUGGUGUCAGCCGCCGCGGUAAAACCAGCACCUCAAGUGGUCAGGAUGAUUAUUGGGCCUAAAGCAUCCGUAGCCUGCCGUAUUAGUUUUCGGUUAAAUCCAUAUGCUCAACAUCUGGGCUGCCGGGAAUACUAUACAGCUAGGGAGUGGGAGAGGUAGACGGUACUCGGUAGGAAGGGGUAAAAUCCUUUGAUCUAUUGAUGACCACCUGUGGCGAAGGCGGUCUACCAGAACACGUCCGACGGUGAGGGAUGAAAGCUGGGGGAGCAAACCGGAUUAGAUACCCGGGUAGUCCCAGCUGUAAACAAUGCAAACUCAGUGAUGCACUGGCUUGUGGCCAGUGCAGUGCUGCAGGGAAGCCGUUAAGUUUGCCGCCUGGGAAGUACGUACGCAAGUAUGAAACUUAAAGGAAUUGGCGGGGGAGCACCACAAGGGGUGAAGCCUGCGGUUCAAUUGGAGUCAACGCCAGAAAUCUUACCCGGAGAGACAGCAGAAUGAAGGUCAAGCUGAAGACUUUACCAGACAAGCUGAGAGGAGGUGCAUGGCC